rnacentral:rRNA from 1 species
CACGUAGGGGGCGAGCGUUGUCCGGAUUUAUUGGGCGUAAAGAGCUCGUAGGCGGUUUCGUAAGUCGGAUGUGAAAACUCCAGGCUCAACUUGGAGACGCCAUUCGAUACUGCGAUGACUUGAGUCCGGUAGGGGAGUGUGGAAUUCCUGGUGUAGCGGUGAAAUGCGCAGAUAUCAGGAGGAACACCAAUUGCGAAGGCAGCUCGCUGGGACGUUACUGACGCUGAGACGCGAAAGCGUGGGGAGCAAACAGG